rnacentral:tRNA from 1 species
AUUUAAAUAGUUUAUAUAAAACAUUGAUUUGUGGAAUCAAAAAUAAAAUUAUUUUUUUUAAGUA